rnacentral:rRNA from 1 species
AAUNUUUUUUGUUGGUAGGACAGUUUGGUUGGGGCGACAACCUUUGAAUAAGAAACGAAGGCGAGCUUAUGGUGUACAAGCAAUCUCCUUAGCCUGACAGUGAGGGGGACACCCCUAGCUGGCACAAGGACUACGUCCCAUGUGGGCGAUAAUGACCCGAUAUGUUUGUCCAAAAUAAAUAUCGAAAGC